rnacentral:rRNA from 1 species
GACGAACGCUGGCGGCGUGCUUAACACAUGCAAGUCGAGCGGAAAGGCCCUUCGGGGUACUCGAGCGGCGAACGGGUGAGUAACACGUGAGUAAUCUGCCCCUCACUCAGGGAUAACCGCGGGAAGCUGCGGCUAAUACUUGAUAUGACCACGUCUCGCAUGGGGUGUGGUGGAAAGCGUUUAGUGGUGAGGGAUGUGCUCGCGGCCUAUCAGCUUGUUGGUGAGGUAGUGGCUCACCAAGGCUUCGACGGGUAGCCGGCCUGAGAGGGUGACCGGCCACACUGGGACUGAGACACGGCCCAGACUCCUGCGGGAGGCAGCAGUGGGGAAUAUUGGACAAUGGGCGAAAGCCUGAUCCAGCAACGCCGCGUGAGGGAUGACGGCCUUCGGGUUGUAAACCUCUUUCACCUCUGACGAAGCGCAAGUGACGGUAAGGGGAGAAGAAGGACCGGCCAACUACGUGCCAGCAGCCGCAGUAAGAC